GUUUCAGACCUGGGUCUGUUUCCUCAUUUGGGAAAGGAAGAGAUCAGAGUAAAUAACUGUGAAGGUCUGUUCCAGCUCUAACUCCUAUUAUCAAGAGCCACACCAAUGAGGAAACUGAAGCUCAAAGUCACAGUUCACAAGUGGGAGACAAAUGGCUGAGGUUUCCAGUCUCAAUCCAAGUGACCACUCCUUUCCCCACCCCAUUUCCUCAACUGCAUGCUCUCCUGCUUAAGACAUUUCAACAGCUUUGAACUGAAGCAAUACAAGGAUCUAAGACAUCUCCAAAGGCCC